rnacentral:rRNA from 1 species
UACGUAGGUGGCAAGCGUUGUCCGGAAUUAUUGGGCGUAAAGCGCGCGCAGGCGGUCCUUUAAGUCUGAUGUGAAAUCCCACGGCUCAACCGUGGAAGGUCAUUGGAAACUGGGGGACUUGAGUACAGAAGAGGAAAGUGGAAUUCCAAGUGUAGCGGUGAAAUGCGUAGAGAUUUGGAGGAACACCAGUGGCGAAGGCGGCUUCCUGGCCUGCAACUGACGCUGAGACGCGAAAGCGUGGGGAGCGAACCGG